CCGACUCCUGAGAACUUCACUUUUAGUCACUUUGGCUGAAAAGCUAAGCAUGAAUGUCUGCAGAGGAAGACCAUGGGAUAUGACUGAGAGCCGAAAGAAGCACAGAACAGGCAGCAGGGUACGAUUCUUUCUUCCUGAAACGGCUCAGCCGUUUUCAGGAAACGUAUGAAUGCAUCCUCAGGUCAGGACUCAGCAGUCCACCUACACCUGAAGGACCGGGGACACUCAUCUGAGGACAGUAAGGUUCACAUUUUGUCCAGAGACGACCUACGGUCUGACAGAGGAGUGAAAGAAGCCGUUUGCAUUAAGGAGGCGUACACACCUGUAACGGUCAGCUGGACUCUCUGCUUGAAGUCCACCUUCGGGAUGUGGCACUCGUAGGUGCCGCUGUCCGACAGCUGGACGUUCUGCAGGACGAUGGAGAAGUUUCCUGACGUGUACAGAUCAGGGAAACUGUUUACUCUGCCUCUAAAGUUCUGGUUCUGAGACGCUGUAUUCUGGACACCGCUCAUGACAGUCAGCACAAUGUUGUCGUCUUUGUCCAUCCAGGAGACGUUGGGGUUCCCUGGCAGAGGGUCAGGUCCUCUGUAGAUGCAGGGCAGCAGGACACUUCCUCUGAUGAAACCCUGGACGUUCACCUGGCAGCUCACUGAGAGACAACACAAGACACAGGUCAGGGGUCUGAGGAAGCUCAGGCUGCUGAAUGUUUUUCAGCGACUGGAAAGUGGAAUCUCUCCUGGAUCUCGGUACGCCUCCACAGGGAGUAUCCAGGAAGAAAUUCCGAUGUGAUAAGACUGAGGGAAGCAGUGGGGGUCAGGCUCAGCGCAGCAGAGCUGCAGAGGAGUCCAGGAGACAGGGACCACACGGGAGGAGGCCAGAACAGUCUCUGGGAACGUCUGAUAACACAUGUGCUGGAUGCAGCUGUGCAACAACAACUCUGCCAACGACUCACAGAGGCGCCAUGAUGCUCAGGACGAGAGUCCUCAGUGAGAAGAGACGUCACCUGUACGAUGGAGUGCAACAGGUGCUGUUUUGAGUCCGAACCUGGAUAAAGUGUCGAAUCCUCACAUUCAUUUCUGUCCCUUGACGGAUCUGGAUCUCAGCAUCUCUCAGGUUCUUCCCUCAGGUUCUUCCUUCA